ACACGCAUGACACACUGCAUAUCAAUAAGCGGAGGAAAAGAAACUAACAAGGAUUCCCCUAGUAACGGCGAGUGAAGCGGGAAGAGCUCAAAUUUGAAAUCUUAAAGGGUUUCCCUUUACGAAUUGUAGUUCAAAGAAGUGUUUUCUGUUGGAGUUUCGGUAAAAGUUCUUUGGAAUAGGACAUCAUAGAGGGUGAGAAUCCCGUAUUUGACCGUUACUUUCCAGCUGUGUGAUUACACUUUCAAAGAGUCGGAUUGUUUAGGGAAUGCAGUCCAAAAUGGGUGGUAAAUUUCAUCUAAAGCUAAAUAUUGGCGAGAGACCGAUAGCGAACAAGUACCGUGAGGGAAAGAUGAAAAGAACUUUGAAAAGAGAGUUAAACAGUACGUGAAAUUGUCAAAAGGGAAGCGUUUGACACCAGUGUUGUUUAGUUGAAAAUCAAUUCAAUAAUUUUUGAUUUUGAGUAGUAUUGACUUCAUCAGCUUGCUGCUUUCUUUUCGGAAAUUAUUGAAUGCACUUUUCAGUUAACAAGUCAACAUCAAUUUCUUUUGUUGUAAAAGGGUAAGAGGAAGGUGGCUUACGCUUCGGCGUAAGUGUUUAUAGCCUUUUACCUCUGCAAUCGGAGAGAUUGAGGACAGCAGCGUAGACUCUUCGGGGUUAGAUACACUUGUGCUGAGCUAUAGCCUUGUAUAGACAACUUGUUGACUAUGCUCAGUCAUGUAGCUUACUCGCAUGUGCUAUUUUACCUACGCUUAGGAUGUUGAACUACUGAGACAUAG
rnacentral:rRNA from 1 species